AGGAGAGGCUAACCUGCCUGCACUAUCAGGCUGGCGUCCCAUUUUGUGGAUCAGACUGAUAGCAUGGCGGUCUUUGCCAGAGUGAGACAUGAGCAUACGAGGGAGAAGGUGCUCGAAGAUUACUAGGUGCUGUCUGACUUGGAUAUUGAGGGUGAAAAGGAUAGUGAGCGUAUUGAAGAACAAAGAUGUGGUGUUGGGACACUUCACUCAACACCUUGAAUAUCUUGGGCAAUUGAAGACCUAGUGGUGUUUAUUAGAGGUGGUCUUCCAGAGACACCGGAGAAAGUUCUUGACAUAUUGUAACCAGGUGGUAACAUAUGUUGCGAGUUAGGAGCAAUGGAGGGACUUGGCAAACUGGUCGAAGGAGGCUCACCGGAAGAAGAACCAGAAACCAAGAAUGGUCGAAUAGCAACUUGUUGUCUCGAAAGUUGAUGCAACUGCUGCGGAAAUGAAUCUGAAAUCAAGAUAGUGGUUAGAAAAAUACUCGAAAUAGAAAACUCGGUGCUACAAGCUAUCCAUAUUUAGUGAUUUGUAUGCCUGCUAAUAAAUAGAAUACAUAAACAAAGAUAUGAAUGCGAAAUAACCAUGCAUAAGAGUACAGAUUUAAGUAUGUAAAUUUGUCGCCCUAUCCCAAUGUUAGAGUGAUCUAAACAACUGAAAACAAUAAUACCACAGAACUACUGAAACAAUCCGUAUAUGAUUAAUUUUUCAAAAACUGCACACGUAUAAUUUAGUUUAAAAAUUGCCCUAGGAAAAGAUAAAUAAGCGCAAGGCAAGAACUCUCCUCAAAACCUUAGAAGUAUCUGCCAACUCAGGCUUAGGUUCAAACUUGACCAGUUGACAAAAAAAAACACAACGGCAAGGAAAAAUAAAUAAACCAACACGAAAUCUAGUUGGAAAGGAGCUGAAAUGAAAUUUAGCUUCUGUAAUCAACUUCAAUCUCCUGAAGUUUGACAUCAUAUUUUCUCCGAAGCUCCGCUAAUUCCUUUUCAAAAUCAGAUUUCAACUGCAAUUUCUGCUCCAACCAGAAUAAUAUUUUAGUAAUCAGAAAAGAUAGAAACCUAGAAUAAGUAUCAUGAGAGUAAGGUAUAUGAGUAAACUAGAAACUAACCAUGUCUUCAUUGUUUUUCGAUGUUUUCUCUAUUAUUUUUUGUAUUCUUUUGAAUUCAAUAUCAUGGGACAAAUGUGGAAGUCUUCUGGAAGGUGAAGGGGUUUUAGAUUGGAUAGGAUGACUUUUCAUCGCCAAAGGAAUUGAAAAAUUUCUUGGGUUGGCAGACUGUGCUCUUACUCUGCUGGCUGUAAGCAAAUCAAGAUUUGAAUUUAAGUGUGAUUGCCCAACAUCUUUAUUUGGAACCACAGAAGAUUGCUCAGAAUGAUUAGCGGGGAGACCGCAUAUACUAUUCAGCUGAUGUUCAUCUUCAGUUGCUAAAUGAACAUUAGACAAACCCGACAUAACCAAGUUGGAAGAGAGCUCUGCAUGAGCUAAUUGAUUCACCUGAUUUGAAGGCACUGUGAUUUGAUUGGCUGGUACAAUAUCAGAUGAACUAGAGGCCAGUUGAAUUUGUUCAGAAGAAUUUUGCAUUUCCCCAUCUGAAUCCUUGUCAGCAGCGGACUCCACAGACGGCAAUUGUUUCCCAUGUCCUAGAGGCUCCAUGACAUUAACUGAAGUCACUAUAGCAUUUGUGGUACUAUUAUCUACCAGCGUAGCUGCCGUAGCAUUUGUUGAAGGCCCAAUACCCUUGUCACAAUCACCCACUGCAUGACUAUUUUCUGGCACUAUAAAAGGAACAUCUCCAUCAGGUAUUUGUUGUUCCAAAGGUGGAUUUGAAAGGGAAAUUUUUAUCAUGACAGCUGGUUGAACAAUCAGCUUGACAAGGCUUUAAUGAUAAAACACCAUCUAAAACUGGCGCAUCUAUUGAACCUCUGUCAGAUAUUUGAUCAAUAGAUGAAGGAGGGUUCAGAUGAGUUGCAUUCUGCAGCAGACAAUCAGUAACACUGUCAGUCACAGGCAUUUCAACUUGAACAUGUAUUUCUGAUACACACAUAGAGUCCCCUUCAUUGUUAGUUUCUUGCACUUCAACAAGAAUUUUCCCUUCAGGUAUGCUUGAUGAAACUCCAUCAGAACAUUGGUGCUCUAGAUGUGUGGCAUUCUCACAAUCUGGCAAGCACGUGUUACCUAAACUAGGCAUCUCACAACCAUCUUGAGAACCAUGGCCAAACUUUGCACACCUAUUAUCUUCAUCUGUCAUGCUUGUAGCAACAUCAGAAUUCUGCUCUCUGGAAUGGGAAUGUUUAGAGAUAAUGAUUUCCUGACUGACAUAUUGAUUUUCAGUUGCAUUAUGGUCCUCACUUCCAGAGACUGGUUGAUCAUUUGAAACCAAGAUGUCCAUUUCAUUAGCCCUGUCAUAUUUGACCAGAGAAUUUUGUAGUAGAACUGUUUUACUAACUGAAGGAGAAUUGGUUUCAGUAACCAUAUCCCCAGCCUCUAUCAUGGAUUCAACCACAUUAUCACACAUCUGCAAGUAAUCAAUCCCAGUCCCAGGUUCCUUUGAAGCAACCAUGUUUCGUAAUUCAUUCUUUGCCCAAGACUUCACUUCUUCCACCCAAGUGGCCUCCCAGUCUUGAAUCUUUAGUAUAAGAGCUGAUUGUUUGUCCUCGAGUUCCUUGAGACUUGCUUCAUGCUGACAUUUCAGUUCUUCAAUCCUUUUUUGAUGGUCAAUAUUCAAAAUAUUGACUGUUUCAGUUCUCGCCAUCUCAUUAGGAGAGCAGGAUCGAGUCACUACUAACUGUAUUUUCUCUCCAGUUCAGCCUUUUCAUCUUCAUUCAUCACUCUCAGCCUAUGUUUCUCUUCUUGGUGCAUAAGGCGUAUCUUACUCAGAAUUUUUUCUCACUUUUUCUGAAUUUUUCUAAUGCUUUUGGACAAAUCUAUGUUGAAUAAUUCAACCUCCCGUGCCACUUCUAAACAUGAAAUUCCGUUCAAUGAUUUAGAAGCUUUUGGAGAAGAAGUAUCAUUAUAAGUGCCUGUACGAUAUACAAAUAUUUUCUUUAAACACCGCAGCAAGGAAUACCUGUGGUCCACAUCUGUUUGGUUACAGUCAAAAUUCAAAUACUGUUUUGCAAGAGUAAGAGAAGCCUUGUGCUCAACUUUGUGCCUUAGCAAAGAAGCAGCAGUCCAAAUCUGAAAUUUGCACAAUACAAGGAGGGGAAUAUCAGUCAUGCUUAGAAAUGCUAAAUGCAAUUAUUGAAUAUGUGCACCUGCAUGAGGUAGGAAACAAAUUCAUGUAAUACUUCACAAGCCUAUUUUACAUGCACAGACAAGAAUCUCAGCAGAAACAAAAAUUUCAAGGCAUGCAUGCAGUUGAGUAGUCAGAUCAAGUACAAACAAAAAAUGGCUUUGAUGGGUGGCUCUGAACAGAAAAAUGUCAAAUGUGUGAAAAAUAAACAAAUUAAUUAUUAGAUUUUCCCAAAAAUAAAUAAAUAAAAUAAAGCACAAAAUACACAAAAUUAGGAAGGCUAAAUAGGAUACAGCGAAAUCAAAUUCAGAAAAUACUACUGCAUGAAAGGAAAAGGUAGCCAAAUUGUGCAAGAGUCACAUAUGACACAUACUAUGGAAACAAUCAAGAAUAAACAAACAGAAGUCCAAAUUUAUUUAAGAAAGCAUAAACUAUAUUAGAAAGAAGGAUGUGAGAGAGAAGGGGUGAUAUGCAAGAAAUAUUCUGACCAGAGAUAUUUGAAAAGCCUGUAAUAUUGACACGGAUUCCAUAUUGAAGUGGUGAUUGUUCAUAACAUACUCAAGAAAGUUGUCAACCAUAGUCUUGACAUUAUCCUGCAUUACAAAUAUAUGUCACAAUAACAUCAAACUCCGACUUACAAUAGAGCUCAGAUUUCAUUAGCACAAACAAUCUGGUUAUUAGAAUGCAAUCUUGUCAAGGACCAAAGUAUGAAAACUAACAGCAAGUAAAACUUAACAAAGAGAAAAACAUGCUGCAUACUGGAAGAAGAAGAACUUCGCAGAGCUUUGUCAUCUGUGGCUUCAGCGAAACAUGUAAGCCCCUCGACUCAUUAUGCACUCUGCCGUUUUUCUCAGAUUCAACAUCAUUACCCUGAGAUUUAUCUGGCAUUUGAUCAAGCAAACAAAGUAUCAAUAUAUAUGUAUCAUGUGUCAUGUCACUAAGCUAGUUGCUGACAUGGCAUACAGCUGCCAAGUUAGUUACACUACAAAGCUGUCACUAGGCGAAGUUUGUUAACAGUUUGAUCUACUAUAUAAAGCAAUGUCAUUGUAAUCAUAAAUUAUUCAACUAAUUCUAAGAGAUUGAUCAUUGAAAUGGAAUGAAUCUUACUGUUAGUUAUCCUCAUUAAGGGCCUGUUGGUUACUACUCAAAAUCAAUGUAAUUUUGAUAGAAAUAAAUUAGAAUGUAUAGAAAAAGCUGAUUUAUGUUUGUUUACAAUAAUAAAAAUUAUUUUUUAAAAGUACUCCAUCCAUCCCACAAUGACUGAUCCAGUUGACUAUUUCACACAUGCCAAUGCAUAAUUUUGACAUUUAAUAUCUUUAAUUAUUUAAAAGCAAAUAUUAUAAAAAUUUGAUAUUUUGAAAAUAUUCAUCAAGAAAAAUCUAACGCAACUUAUAUGCUACCAUUUCUCUUUAUAAAUUAGUAGAAAAAUAUGGUUAAAGUAUGUAAUGCGAAUACUGCACAUAGCAAAACUGGGUCACUCAUUGUAGGAUGGAGGAAACAAUUUUUAACUUGUGGGAUACAAUAACAUAGAAAUGCCUAUUUUCUUCAAAACUACACUAAAUAAAUAAAAACAUCUUAAAAAAAUAAAUUUAAAUACAAUAGGAUUUAAUGAUAAUUCUUAAGUAAUCAAGUGAUUAAUGAGCUCCCACUACCCACUAGGAUGAAUAUUUGGAGAACCUGGGUUCGAUUCCUUGUGUAAACAAUUAUUGACCGGGAUUUAUUUACCUCUCGGUCAAACUCUGAAUUAUUAUUAAGGCCCCUUCCUUUAUAAACCGGAGGGUUAACACAAAAAAUUAUUAAUAAUGUUUCAUAUAUUAUUAUAAUCUUCAAACGUAUUCAUCCUCACAAAAUAAGCUAAAACAAAUUAUCAAUCUAACAAUAAAGGUAAUAACAAAGUUUAACUGAGAAAGCAGCAACUAACCUGCCUUGAUUCCAGAUUUGGAUGAAGGCUGAUCAUCAACAUUAUUGUUGCUGAUAUUCAUGUGCUCCUUUGCUUUUCCUUUUAUCUUGUCAUUGUUUUGUAGGUGCAAUGUUUUAUAAUGGGUUUUGUGUCCUCUACCUACAUCAAUCCCUUCCUCCAUUGUGACUAAUUUUGAGUACUAAGAUUGAUAUGAAAUUUCUAUCUCUAUCACACUUUUAUUGUGACAAAACAAAAGAAAGUAGUUGUUGUAAGUAAGUACUACGAAGGAGUGUGUGUGUGGGGGAAUAACAAACUGGAAAAACCUUUCAAAAAAAAAAACACAAACUGGGAAAAAAGAAGAAAGAAAAAAAAAGGGAAUGGACCACAUGUUAAACAUACCCAAAAAUGGAAAAAAAAGUCUCACCUUUAUUUUUUUUUUUUUUUUUAAAUUUCAAUUAAUUGUGGGUCCUAACAAAACAAGAGUUCUCAAAAUUGUCAUUAAGAAGAAGAGAAAGAGAUCGAUAGUGAGUAAUUAAUUGUUGGCUUAAUUUGAUAUUUGGUCCUCUAAUUAAUUUGUUGUUUUCAUUUUGGUCUCAUAAGUUCUAAAAUCAACGAUUUGGUCCCUUUGCUUUUGCCCCGUCAGUCAAUAUGGUCCCUUCUGUCAAAUGCUUCUAUUUCCCGUUAGUUCUUGCACACGUGGACGAUCCUAUGUGGCUACACCGUGGCACAUAUAUAAGGCAUUGCUCAUAUCAGAACACCCAAAAUUAGGGUUCUAAGCAAAUGAAUCGCGCCUCUCUCUCUCUUUCACUUCACUCUCUCUCUGAAAUCCAGAAUUAAAAUCUCAAAUUCAGAAUCCUUCAAUUCGAAGCUGAAGCAAUCGUUUGGGUCAAUCAUCUCUGCGUUUUUCCUUCAAUUGAAACCCCAAAUUCGAAGCAAUCCUAUUGUAUUCGAAUCUAAGAAAUGUCAAAUCAUUUGGGUCAAUCAGCUAUGUCUGUAGGUUCGAAUUUGAGAAAGAGAGCAAUUACGGAAUGCAGGUGUGGAGAAGAAACAAUUGUUAGAACUGUUACAGAUACCUACAAUCCAAACUGUGGAAAAAAGUUCUUGGGUUGCAAAAACUACAAAAAUCAAUAUGACAAGGGUUGUAUUUUCUUCAAGUUAGUUGAUGAAGAGUUAUGUGAUGACAAGGAUUUGAAGAUUGCAAAGUUGGAGAAAAAGAAUACAAAAUUGAAGAAUCAAUUGGGGAAGACCAGAUCUUGGCUUAAGAUCUCAAUUAUUUUAGGAUUAUUAUGUUUUGGAGUUUGCCUAGUGUUAGGAACAAUGCAAUUAUGCAAACCUAAUGGAAACUUCAGUAAUGUUUAUUUGAAAUAGGAAGAUUGUUAGAAAUUUGUAUUGUUAGAUUGAUGCAAGUUUAAAUGAUGAUAUGUACUUUUGGUUGGUUGUGUAACAUUAACAAGUUUGAAAUGAAUGAAUUAUCCUGAUUAGCCUUUAAAUUGUUGUUUUCAUAUGUGAUUUGAAUUGAAGUUGUUGCUUAAAAUGUUGUGUAAUUUGAUAUGAAAUGAUGAAAAUGUUUGUAAAAAGUAGGCUAGGCAGCUUUAUAUUGAACACCAAAUUUGGUGGUUGAAAAUGAAAGAUGUUUUGGACUGUCAAAUAAUACCAGAUUAUGCACUUAAAAUUCAGAUGUAAUUAGUAAGGCUUAAACAUGGUAAACCUCCAAUCAGUAGCAAGAACAGAUGUAAAUGAAAUUGCAAUAUUUCAUAAAGUAAUUGGUCAUUAAUAAACCAUAUCAGUGACAUUAGUACAUCAAAAUAUAUGCACUUAGGCUUCAAAAUAAGCUUGCAUUACAUCAAAACAACUCCGGCAUUGGGUACAAGAAAGUCAUUGGCUUCAUCUAAAGGGUUAAGGUUUCCAAAGGCUCGUGGGUCUACAGAGUGUAUUACAUAAAGAUGAACCACCUUAUCCAUUUCUGCUAUAUCUUGCAUCCUUCUACAACCAUGGUCAUCCCUCAACCUAAUCAAGUUAUCCUCUAUAUAAGGGUCAUGGUACCAAAUGCUCAUAAUCAUGGGGCCUCCUAGUCUCUUAAUAGUUUCUAGCAACGAAAAGUAACUCCAGUAAUCUGGCUCAGCUUCUAACACAGUUUGUUUUCCAAUAUAUUUGGCAUGGUGAAAUUCAACAAACACCCCCCCAUGAUGAACCACAAGCAUAAACCUUCCUUCUAACUGUUAUAAAAUAAAAAAAAAACAACUCAAACCAGUAAACAACAAGAUUAAAACGAUUUGCAGAACAUUUAAUUUGGAAACCCUAAAACGAUAAACAAUUGAUUAAAAAAUUAUUAUUUUCCGAAAACCCUAACCCUAAACCAGAUCCCAAACCCAGAAACAAGCAUGAAAAACCAGAAACCAUACACCCUAAACCGGAAAUUUGAAAAAAAACCUAAACCCUAAAGCAAAACGACAGAGAAGACAUACCUCCACAAUCGGACCCUCAAAAUCCGGAUCUUCUGCACUCAUUUUCUUCUUCAGCUAGCGAAAACGACCUUCUUCUUCCUCUUUGAUUCUUCAGCAACCCUUUCUCUUCUUCUUCUUCGCUUUCUCUCUCUAAAAACCUUUCCAACUUUCAAAAACCAGCUUCUGUUCCGUUUCUCUCUCUAUGUCCAAAAACGCGUUAUAUACGUGCCACGUGUGCAAGAACUAACGGGAAAUAGAAGCAUUUGACGGAAGGGACCAUAUUGACUGACGAGGCAAAAGCAAAGGGACCAAAUUAUUGAUUUUAGAACUUAUGGGACCAAAAUGAAAACAACAAAUUAGUUAGAGGACCAAAUAUCGAAUUAAGCCUUAAUUGUUUGAAGAGAAUGAGAUCGAUGGUGAGUAAUUAAUUGUUUGCUCACAUGCCCUUCAAGUUGUCUAUAAUGUCCCUAUCUUACAACAUUGGGUUCUAACUUCUAACUCCCACUUGAGAAUCUAAAGACCAUAGUCCAUAGUUAAGAAAAUACGGGGUCGAAUCCACCAUGUAGCUAAGUGUGGCUAUCGCCACGCAUAAUUAUUAUCCUUUUUUUUUGUUUACUAGGCCUCAAAAUAUUGAUUAUAUAUAUUGCACAUAUUAUCUUGUUUACGGUUCUUUUCUCUUGUACAUGUCAUGAGUUCAACUUCCAUUGUUCCUCGUUUAUACAAUUUUUGUUAGUACCACAAUCUUAAAUGUGGGAGAAAACAUAAGGGUACACACCUAACCACCUUGUCAUAGUGUACACCUCAGUUAUACAAUUUUUUGUUAGGACCGACAAUUUUUGAGAAAAAAGCAAGUCAAAUGGCUAGAAAAAUCUUAAAUGUAGGAGUUAGUGUUGAGAUUCAUCAUUAUAUGUAUUGUGAGAAAGAUUUGCUUAAAAUGGUUGAUUGUGAGUAUGCUUUUACCUAUAUUGAUGACCCUUGUAAUGACACAUAUCAUGCAAAUAUUGAGGCAAGUGUUUGUGGAACAUGCAUUGAGGAGUAGUAAUAGUAAUGGUUUGAAAAAUAUAAAUGCUUCUUUUUUUCCUUAAGCAUUUGAGGAGGAACUAAAAAGGGUAUUUCCAAAAGAUGUUAAAUCUACGAGAAUUGCUUUUGAAAAAGGGAUUUUAGCAAAUCCGAACAAAAUCAAGGAAUGCAGGUUGUAUCCGUUGUAUAAGUUUGUUAGAGAGGAAUUGUGGACUGAAUUUUUAACUGGUGAAAAAGUUAAAUCACCAGGAGAAGAUUUUGAUAAAGUUUUGAAUGCAAUUACUCUUGGAAAGAUAAUUGAUCCAAUGUUUGAAUGCCUUAAGGAUUGAGAUGGUACACGUACCUUCCUAUAGAUUUUCAUUGACUAAUACUUCAAAUUCGUCUUUGAAUUUUAAAAAAUCAGCCAAAUUCGUCCCUGAAUUUUGCGAAAUAUCUAUUUAGUCCCUGAAUUUUACAGACGUCCAUCAAAAUAGUCCCUCCGUCCAAAAGUUCUGUUAGUGGUGAUGAUGUGUCCUCUUGCAUGCUGUGUUGUCAUGUACGCGUGUCAACAAGGCAGCCACGUGUACAAGGACUAAAUUGAUGGAAAUGGUAAAAAUUCAAGAUUUAACUUUUCAGUGUAAUUUUUCUUGUGUUUCCAAUUAUACCCCUCUAUUACCUGUGUUGUCCUGGAUCGAUUUGAGACUUACUGUCAUAAUUUGAGGACUAAUUUGAUGGAUUUUGUUAUAAUUUAAGGGCUGAUAUGAUUUAUUUUAUUUGCAGAGAAUGAGUACACGAAGAUAUGGCAUGAGAGGACCAAUGAUUUCAAAUGGCAUGCAUAAACAAACACCAUUGAGGGGUCCUGCUCCACAAAAUCCAACUGCUCCUAGAGUUAUUAGAGUUCCAAAUCUAAAUUACGGGUCAUCCGCUUCUACUCAACCCCCAAUACAUGGAGUUUAUCCAUACUCUAGAAUUUCCAAAGCAUUGAUGCAUGUUUAAAUUAUGCUUCUGGACUAGUUUAAUUAAUGUUUUUUGGACUUGUUUAGUUUAUGCUUUUUUGGAUAUGUAAUCACCUAAGAACAUCAAAUGAUUUGAUGACUUGAUAGCUAUGUAAUGUUAUUUUUUUGGCUAUGUAAUUACUGAUGAACAUCAAAUAUAUGAUUUAUGAUGAUAUGCAAAUGUCUGUCUUUUUAUAAUCAAAGUGUAUGGCUUUUACUUUUUACUUUGUUCAGCAAAUGUAUGCACCAAGGAUCACAUUGAUAUCUGUUGUGAAAAUUCAAGGACCUAUUUGAUGGUAUUUUCACUAAUUUGAGGAUCGAUAUGAUGGAUGUGCAUAUAAUUUAAGGACCAAUUUAAUUGAAAUUUUUUAACAAAAAGGUUUGAUUCAUUCAUUGACAACAUCUUUUCAUUACAACAUUACAUGGACUUGGCACAAUACAAUAGCAUUUUAAACAACUCAAUCAAACAAAUUCUAGGACAAUGUUGGUUUUUCUUACAACACAAAUUAUAGGACACCAACAUUGAAGCUCUCUCACAUCAUCAUUGUACAUAGAGCUCGAAGAUGAAUACCGAUUGUUGUAGUUGUUUUUGCCCAUUCGCGCACCACCCAUAAAUUCUGAACACCGAAUCUACAAGGCAGACCACUUGAUUUAUGAAUUUCGAAUUUAAUCAAAAAAAUUAGGGUUCUAAGUUUUUUGAAUUGGGGAAGAAAUUUGACAUCAAUUUAUGGAAGAAAUUUUGGGGAUUUUGAAUUCUAUGUAAGGAAUUAUAACAUUAGGGUUCCAAAUUUAUAUAUUUGAGGAAUAAAUAGCCCUUAAUGAGGAAGAGGAGAAAGAGCCGUUACUCACAAAGAAGAGAAAUAGCCGUUGCCAAUUUUCUGAAAAUCCAUCAAUUUGGUCCUUGGAAAUGUUGUGUAAAUCAAUCAAUUUGGUCCCUGCUUGCGUGGCAUCUGACGUGGUAAGCUUUGUCAGAGGUUAACGUUACACGUCACCUCCGUUAACAAACCAACUUAACGGAGGGACCGAUUUGAUUGACAUUUUGUAAAUUCAGGGACUAAUUUGCUAUUUCACAAAAUUCAGAGACGAAAUUGGCCGAUUUUUCAAAAUUCAAAGACGAAUUUGAGGUAUUAGUCGAUUUUCAUUACUACAUGGUUUUACAAGUGUUGCUAUUUCUCAUGUAUGGUAAUAGGUAUGCAUAGUUUCAAAAUAAGACGAAAUACAUCAAUGAAACAAGUGAAUAUCUUAUGAGUUUUUUUUAUAAAUUUGCACAUGUUAAAAAGUUUAAAAUAUUAACUUUGCAUUGAAACUUUUAUAUUUUGUAUUUAAUAUAUAACUCUUUAAUAAAUAAUUGUUGAUUUUCAAUAAAAACUUACUGCUUUUAACUACUUUAACAUGUACAAUAUUGCAAAUGGUAGAUAAACUCAUAUCUUAUUAAAAAAAUUAUUUAUACUAACUUUUGACAAAUAAACUUAUAUGUGGUAGCUAGAUAUAUAUUACUUGGAUAGUUAUUUACUAAAUAUACUAAUCUAUUCGAAUAAAAUUUAAAAAAAUUGGCAACAUAGCUUUGCCUCUCUCUUUGUAAAUUCAUUUUUUAAAAGUGAAUAAGUAGGGUGUCCGAGGUUCGAACUCUCAUUCCCUACAUAUAAUGAUACAUUGUCAUUGCCAACUGAGUUAUGUUUGCGGAGACUGCCUUAUUUAAUUUACUCCGUAUUAGAUGUGCUUUAGAUCUAGUUAUACUCGUGGUGCGGUUUGAAUCAUUUGUGUGAUAAAAUUCUAUUGAUUAAAAAAUUUAAAUACUCAUAGUGUGAUAAAAAAUCAUCAGAUUUAAAAAUUUAAUUACUCACGGUUUGUUUUAGAUGACUAUCUUAAAAAAAGAAUGACACGGUCCAAUUUUAUGCAGUCUAAUUUGGAUCAAUUUCGGAUAUUCAAAAUAUAAUUUUGUAAAAAAAUCUAUUAGAUUUAAUAUUAUAAAGACACAAUAAAAUCAUAGGUUUGAUAAAAAUAUAACAUAUAAUAUACUAAUAAUCAACAAUAAGAAAUGAUAAUUAUCGGUUAUGUUUGAAAAAUAUGAAAUAAUAAAAAAAAAAAACUAGAUUAAAUUUAACUAAGAAAUUAUUAAAAAAAUUAAAACCAACAAAUAAUAUAUUAAUGUAAUAUAUAUAUAUAUAUAUAUAUAUAUAUAUAUAUAUAUAUAUAUAUAUAUAUAUUUGCUGUUAGGUUAAGUUUGGUUCUGUUCAAUUUUAAAAAAAAAAAAAAAAAAAAAAGGAAUCAAAAUCUGAUCCAAAUGGAGCAGUUGUUACUAAAACACAUUCAAUGCCUUCCAAAAAGUUACUAAAACACAUUCAAGACUUCCAAUAAAUUUCGGUUUUGUUCAAUUUUCAAUUUCUUUUGGAUCAGUUUGGUUUGCAAUUUUACUACAACAAACAUAUUGCAUGUAUAACUAAAAAUAGCAUCAACAAUACUCCAUCUAAUGAAUAUUAUAAAAUAAAAUAAUCACUUUUUAGAUUUAUUAAAUAACCGGUGUAUCUGAUAUAUUAUAGACCAUAUACAUAAGUUGUUAUUUAAUAAAUUUAAAAAGUAAUUUUUUGUUUAUAAUAUUUGAUCAGAGAAGUAUAACUAAAAAUAGCAUCAACAAUAUCGGCAGAGUACAACAAAAAAUACAACUUAGAUAAUAAUGACUAGACAUAAAUAAGACCUCAAUUUGUCAAAAAAAUAAAAUAAAUAAGACCUCAAAAGUUUGGUUUAAAAUAAAUCGACUCAACAUUCAUGAAUCAUAUUUCCAAAUUUGGAAACUUCUAUUGUAAAAUUGAAAAUCGUAUUCACGACCAUUUUACAGUCUAACUUAAAAGAGUACAUUUAUUUUUAGGGGAACUUAAAAGAGUACAUAAUGAACACAUUUAUUUAUAAAUAACUUUUAAAAAAUAAUCAUUUUUGGAAAUUUUCUCACAUUUGUUUUCUUCUCAAAAAGAAUGUAACAAAUCUAAAAAUUACUUGAAAAGUUUGGCUACAGAAUGUGCCAAAGACAUUUUUUUUUACAGUGCUGCUAUUUAGUACGGAAGAUUAAAUACGAAAUUUGACGAAAAUAGCUUUCUUAACUAAUAUUACAAUUAUUAUAAGAGUCCCACUUUCCACAAUACAUGGGGUGGUUGGUUAAUAUUAAUUUUUAAUAAAAAUAAUAAUCAUACAACAUGUUGCUUAAUGGAGUGUGGUUAAAAGCAAUCUAUUAACAUAUUCGUUAGUAUCCGUCUUCAAUUUUUCCGUACUACUAAGCAUUACUCUUUUUUUUAAUCUUUGCGCUCCCCUUGCAAAACAGGUAAAAAAUCGCAACACUGAUAUUUUAGCUACAAUUUCGACAUUGUAUACCCGAUAUCCUGUAAAACCUAAAACUGUGUAGAUGUGUUAUAAAUACAGUGUGUGCUGCCUGCAAACCUUUCAGAAAAAGAUUAUCAAUGUUUCCUUUGCCUGCAACUAUCUGUAAAAUAUGCUAAUUCUAGUCCUUCCAUCAUUAAAUCCUUCAAAUAUACUUAUAAGUAAGCUUAAACUUUAUAAGGCUUAGUAUAAUUUAACUUGGCUAGUUUAAUGAUGCACAAGUGAGAUAGGCUUUGCACCACUAGAUCAGUAAAUCUCAUUAUUGGAUCAAAUGGUAAAAAACAAACUUAUCAAUAAUCUUAACAACAGUCAUCUCAAAAGACCACUGUUCAAACACGAAUAAAUUAUAAUAUAAUAUCUUUGUUUUUGUAUGUAAAAUGAUAUGGUAGGCUUCCCGCAUUGGGCAUUUUUCAAAUUAAUCAACAUCCACUUGCAAUGGUUGUCUUUUUUUUCAUCCACUUUGCUAAAUAAGCCUUCCUCAUAUAAUACCUACAAAGCUACAAUAUAGGUUACAAACCUACUAUGCAAGUUUGUCUUAUUUGGAUUUAUAUUUUUCUAUAUAUACAUGUUGCCUUUGUUGAAGUGCAUUCCAUCCCCUGAACCCUUCAUACGCUCUCUUUGGUAUGUGAAUCACUUGAACCCUUCAUACUCUCUUUGCUAAGUGAACUUCUGUUGUUUUUUCUUUCUAUUAUUUAUGCAUAUCUAUAAAUUUGUCCUUCAUUCUGAGAUUUAUCUCCAUAAUUGUGCUCCAUGCUCUAAAUUUGUUAUGAUGCAAGUGGUCCAUUGGAGGAUAUAAAUCAACAAAUUUUGUUAUUUGUAUGUAGUCUUCUAUACAAGAUAUGUAAAAUCCAUUAUUUCUUCUUCUGUAUUUCUGCAUUUGUCUGUUCAACAACUUUAUGCAUGCAAUUUUAUGUCUCUUUUUUGUCUCCAAUCCAUAGGUUUACACGUUUUACUCAUGGGACUCUUGAAGCAACCACACCAGCAACAUGAAACACACCAUUAAAAAUACACAAUUAGUCCCUAAGGUUUAAAUUUUAUUUUGAAAGGAAAGAUGGUUAAAGUGUGAAAGAAAUAUUGAAUCUUUUAAUGUUUAUGUAAUCUGUCCAAGUAGUAAAUAUAGUUUAACAAAAAGGUUCUCAUGUUUAUUCAAGAAUUCAGUCUAUCAAUUAUUGAGUAGUGUCUGAAGCAAACACACCAGCAACAUGUUAUAUUAAGUUUAAAUUUUGUAUUUUAAAUUAUAAAAUGCAAUCUAUCUAAACACACAUUUAAAAAAGAAAACUAACAGAUUUUCUGAGCAGUUCUUGCAUUCUAUUCCAGGUUGGUCCAAAAAAACUAACAGAUUUUGUAUUUACAACAUCCAAUAGUCCAAAAAAGUACAUAAACCAUGUAAAAUUGGAAGCAUUUUGCUUGAAUUAUCUCAUACUAUACUGCCAACAUGAACAUACUCCCAUCCAGACAUAAUCUGGAGCUUGUCUGAGCCACAACUUAUCUAAUUAUAUAAUUUUUGUAACAUAAGUCUGAUAUACUUUUCUGAUCAUAUGUAUAUCUGAAUACAUUCUACUGAGUAUAUAUUUCCUUAUACAUAAAUAUUAGGGUAUCUCUCAUGAUAAUGCAUUGUGCAAUUAAAUAUGUGUUUUAGCCUCAUUUUGCCAUCAGAAAUUCAUCCGGGAUCAAAAGGAAUGUUCGUACUUGAUUCAAUGGCAUUCUAAAUGAAAAAUCAAUGUUUUGUUGCGUAAAAAUUACAUUCCCGGGGUUGGUAAUCGAUUACCGGUAUGUGGUAAUCGAUUACCGGUAUGUGGCAAUCGAUUACCACAGUAAAACAUAUACUUAAAUCAUAGCAAGGCAAACAUAUACUUAAAUCGACACAACCAUCGUAUGGGGUACUAAUUAACUUAAUUUAAUCUAAGAUAAUUAUUUAUCUCACUCAAACAUAAUCAUAAACUAUCUAAAAGGUGGGUUCUACAACUAAAGGAACUCACCGCGACUUAUCUAACCACUUUCAACAGCUUAAGCUCCACCUUCAACUUAAGCCUCUGUCUGCCAAGCUCUUGCUUCUGUCUUCUCCAGUCCCCUAAAUCCAAUUUCCUACUUGUUCUUGUCAGCCCAAUAUGCAUAAACAUCACAGAGACCUUGCCUUCACUAGCUUAUCUCCAAACUUUAAGUCUCAAGCUCCUACAUUCUUGCUUCAGCUUAUGCUUAUUCUUCAAUUUCUUUCCAAGCUCUCCUACUUCAAACCAAAUGUUUAAAAUCAGUUUCUUUAAGUGCUCCUAAGCCUCCAGGGAAUCAGAGUGACAUGAAAAGACGAUCCUCAUGUUCCGAACAUCUCACUUACCGGUUUGUAUGGCUAUGUCAAACCUGCAGGGUCCACCCUGCAAAUUCCAGCAUCAGUACCUUAACUUUCACAAUUUAAUUAAAAUACUAAACAAUAUCCGUUUUGAGCUAACGACCACUCAUUGGAAAGCUUAGGGUGUCAGGAUUACAAAUAUAAUUUUUGUUUUGAGGGUUAACCAUUCAAUUGGUUCAGUUUAACAAAAGAGCGGGUAUUGGUACAUAAACAUGACUGAAACUUUCUCAAACUUGUAGGCAGCUUUUCUCCUACUAUACUUAAUGAAAUUUAACAACUCUAGUGUCUAAACUAUAGGAAAUUUUGUCUUCUUUACAUUGGAUUAAGAAUCAUUAACAUAUGACCUAUUUUCAGAGAGUUAUGCUAAUUUUACCAGAGGUAUGUUUACACGAAUUUCACACAAACAACUCUUCUUUUAUAUGAACUUGCAAACCAAACAUAUACAAUCCAAUAAUAGCCAAAACCAGUCCAUUUAACUUAUAAAAUCCCUUCAUUUUCCAUCUUUUAGGGUCUCAGGUUUGGCAUGAAAGAGAAAGAAAUGAAUAAAGAGAGAAGGUUUAAUUCAUCUUACCUCAGUUUCUAGACAUCCAAAGCUUGAUUUUCAUGAGAAUUUCGUACAUGCAAUAGGAGGGUUUGAAGAAUAGAAAUGUGGGGGUUUUUGGUUUGAUUCUAAACAGGAGGGAAAAUGGAGAAUUUGAGCAAAAUAUUACUGGAAAUGGGUUUCUUUGAUGAUGGGUUUAUGAUUUUCAUUCAUGUAUGUGCUUGAUUUUGAGGGAUUGGUGAGGAAGGAAUUUGCAGGUGAUGACCAAGGUGAAGAAGAGAGGAUGACGUCUGAGAGAAGAAGAGAGAGAUAUAAUGAAAAUUCUGAUUUUCAUUCCUCUUAUUAAUCACAUUUAAAUUUAACCCUUUCCUCUUUUACUAUUUUGCCCCUCCUUUUACUACUAAAGCAUAAUUGUUUUCUUUCAUCAAUAUUUCUCCAAUUUACUAUAUAAAAUUUUAUCUCAUCCUUUAUAUGGAGUCUCUAAUUCACACAAUUAUUAUUAAUCAGAGCUGGAUCGUUACAAUUAUCUUGGUAGUAUGAACCCAAUGUUGAUUUAUUGACUUUGAAAUCAACAACGAUAUAAAUCGGUGUUUUAAUCAAUAUGGUUGUAUUGCUCUUAUUUAAUUUUUAAAAUUUGUUUUUAUGUUUUUUGUGUCUCGAUAUUUAUGAAAAUUCUUUAAUGUUGUCAUUAUGUUUGUGUUUUUGUUUGAUAUUGGAUAAUUUGAGGCUCAUGUUGCUUCUUAUUGUUGGUAUCCACCCGUGCGCACGGGCACUAGACUAGUACUUAUACAUGAUUCAAUUUCCUUACGUGUACGAGCAAUUAAACUUUCUUUUUUUGACAAAUGAGCAAUUAUCCUCAUUGAUCUGUCAAGACCAAUAGACCAUCCAUUAUAAUUUGUACAUUCAAUUAUCCUCGUUGAUCUGUGUCAAUCACGUAACCUACUGUGAACCCAAAUAACAUUUAAUCUAAUAUAAAAUAAAUUUUUAAAUACGAUAACGGUAUAGAUCACUGCAGAGCCAGUUAACGAUUCACAGUGCUUCCUUCUGUCAUUCAUUAAUUAAUUAAUAAUUUGAUAGAUAAAUAUCGGAAUAUCAAUGAGCUUAAAGAUGAAGCUGCCUUGAUUACCUAUAUACAUUUUACUAUCAAUAAUUAAAUGCAAACAGUUAGCCCAGUAAAAAUAAAAAUUCAAGACAUUGCCCUGGUCACUCGUCAUCUGAUAAACAUACUAAAUUCUGAGAUGCAGCUUGAUGUGACGAGUUGGCCACCACACUACUGCUAUUGGGCCCAGAUCUGGAUAAGUUAGCCGGAGCCACAUCUGACAAACGUGAAAUAAUAUUUGGGGGCGUUUUAGUAGAUUGACUGCUAAAAUUCCCAAGUAAGGCUGACCUGCCUGCACUGUCAGGCCGGCGUCCCAUUUGUGGAUUAGACUGAUAGCUUGGCGGUCUUUGCCAAGGCGAGACAUGAGCAUAUGAGGGAGAAGUUGCUCGAAGAUUACUAGCUGCUGUCUGACUUGGAAUCCCACGUUGAAGGGGAUUGAAACUGGAGGGUGGAGCAGAUAUUGAAGGUCUAGAAGAAUGGAGAUGUGGAGCAGGGGCACGUAUCUCACCACCUUGAAUAUCUCGGGCAAUUGAAGACCUAGUAGUGUUUAUGAGGGGUGGUCUUGCAGAGGCACUGGAGAAAGUUCCCGACAUAUUGUAACCAGGUGGUAGCAUGUGCUGUGAGUUAGGAGCAAUGGAGGGACUUGGCAGACUGGUCACAGGAGACUCACCGGAAGAAGAACCAGAAACCAAGAAUGGACGAGUAGCAGCUUGUUGUCUCGAAAGUUGAUGCAAAUGCUGUGGAAGUGAAUCUGAAAUCAAGAUAGUGGUUAGAAAAAUAUGUGAAACAGAAAACUCAGUGCUGCAAGUCAUCCACAAUUAGUGAUAUGUAUGCCUGCUGCUGAAUAGAAUUAGUAAACAAGACAUGAAUGCAAACACACUAUGAAGAGCACAUAUUUAAGCACGUAAAUUUGUCACCACAAAACUACUGAAACAGUCGGUAUAUGACUAAUUUUUCAAAAACUGCAUAUAUAAUUUAGUUUAAAAGUUGAC
rnacentral:lncRNA from 1 species